GAGGAUAUAGCCCCAAGUGGUAGAGCACAUGCUUAGCAUGCAUGAGGUCCUGGGUUCAAUAACCCCAGUACCUCCU
rnacentral:tRNA from 1 species